rnacentral:lncRNA from 1 species
UAAAGAUAUGGAGAGGGUACAACUAGUUAAUGUCAUGAUGCGGGGUUAGACUAGCCUGAAAAACUUUGUCGGCUCUAGUUACGCGUCUUGGGGACUUUCCACUUUAUCUCUGUAACCGUCGGUCUGUACUACCCCAAGUUCGAGCGUCGAUGGUCCUCGAGGGAUGAAACUCGGCCAUUGUCUCGAGCCUUCAAGGCGUGCAUACGAGGCGUCGUAAUGAUAGAAAAU